AGCUGCUCUGAAGGUAGUGAGUUAUCUCAGUUGAUUGUUCACAGUCAGUUACAGAUCGAACUCCUUGUUCUACUCUUUUCCCUGUUCUCACUAUUGGACUUGAAUAGUCUUAA
rnacentral:Y_RNA from 1 species